rnacentral:rRNA from 1 species
GACGAACGCUGGCGGCGUGCUUAACACAUGCAAGUCGAACGGAAAGGCCCUGCUUUUGUGGGGUGCUCGAGUGGCGAACGGGUGAGUAACACGUGAGUAACCUGCCCUUGACUUUGGGAUAACUUCAGGAAACUGGGGCUAAUACCGGAUAGGAGCUCCUGCUGCAUGGUGGGGGUUGGAAAGUUUCGGCGGUUGGGGAUGGACUCGCGGCUUAUCAGCUUGUUGGUGGGGUAGUGGCUUACCAAGGCUUUGACGGGUAGCCGGCCUGAGAGGGUGACCGGCGACAUUGGGACUGAGAGACGGCCCAGACUCCUACGGGAGGCAAUAGUGGGGAAUAUUGCACAAUGGGCGGAAGCCUGAUGCAGCAACGCCGCGUGCGGGAUGACGGCCUUCGGGUUGUAAACCGAUUUCGCCUGUGCCGAAGCGAGAGUGACGGUAAUGGGUAAAGAAGCACCGGCUAACUACGUG